rnacentral:rRNA from 1 species
UACGGAGGGGGGCUAGCGUUGUUCGGAAUUACUGGGCGUAAAGCGCACGUAGGCGGCUUUGUAAGUUAGAGGUGAAAGCCCCAGGGCUUAACCCUGGAAUUGCCUUUAAGACUGCAUCGCUAGAAUCGUGGAGAGGUGAGUGGAAUUCCGAGUGUAGAGGUGAAAUUCGUAGAUAUUCGGAAGAACACCAGUGGCGAAGGCGACUCACUGGACACGAUUGACGCUGAGGUGCGAAAGCGUGGGGAGCAAACAGG